GGUUACCUCAGUUGGUUAGUGCGCUGCACUGGAAUUGCAGGGACGCAGGUUCGAAUCCUGCCAGAGGACCU